UACGUAGGGUGCGAGCGUUGUCCGGAAUUAUUGGGCGUAAAGAGCUUGAAGGCGGUUUGUCGCGUCUGCUGUGAAAAUCCGGGGCUCAACCCCGGACUUGCAGUGGGUACGGGCAGACUAGAGUGUGGUAGGGGAGACUGGAAUUCCUGGUGUAGCGGUGAAAUGCGCAGAUAUCAGGAGGAACACCGAUGGCGAAGGCAGGUCUCUGGGCCACUACUGACGCUGAGAAGCGAAAGCAUGGGGAGCGAACAGG
rnacentral:rRNA from 1 species